GGUGAAGACUCGGGACUGUGAUUGUAUUCUUUAUUGAGUGCGAUUGCGGGAACCUGUCUAAACCUUAUCACUUAGAGGAAGGUGAAGUCGUAACAAGGUUUCCGUAGGUGAACCUGCGGAAGGAUCAUUAUCACACUGGUGGAAUAUUAAUUUAUUCUGCCUAAAUCCAAACCUUACACUCGUGAAUCUGUAGGCAAAAGCAAUCGUUUCAAGCGUUUUGUGAGUAGCCUACCAGUAACAUUGGGGUACUCAUAACAUUAGUUUUGAGCUUAUCUCAUCAUUAUAAUACCCUUAUUAAAUUAUAAACUAACUAGAGAUGGAGAACCAAACCCUUUGUGGUGAGUAGUAUUUAUCUAUAAAAAAAUGUAUUACAACUUUCAGCAGUGGAUGUCUCGGCUCCUACAAUGAUGAAGAACGCAGCGAAAUGCGAUACGUGAUGCGAAUUGCAAGACCUCGUGAAUCAUUAAAAUUUUGAACGCACAUUGCGCCUCUGGGAAAUUCCUAGUGGCAUACUCUCUUGAGUGUCCUUGAACCCUACUCAACAAUAAAUACUAUAAUUUAUUUAUUGUUGGAUGUGUUGUGGCGUGACGGCUUCGGUUGUUCAUGCAUGACUAAAGCGAUAAUUGAUUGGGAACAACAAUGAACAUAUCAACUAUGGAUCAAUAACAUAGUAGAGUGUUGAAGCCUAACGUCUGGUAAUUACUACGAUGGAUGGUGGAAAGCUUUGCUUGGUUUGUGGUGUUGUUUAGAUUACCAUUCAACCCGAACAGCGUCGACGGGCUAUGUUUCUACAUAGUGUGUGGGUCGUUGAUUUCAAUUUGGAUCUCAGGUGGAGUAAAACUACCCGCUGAAUUUAAGCAUAUAAUUAAGCGGAGGAAA
rnacentral:rRNA from 1 species